rnacentral:lncRNA from 1 species
GACGGCGCAGUCACCGCGCGGGGCGGCCGCCCGUGAAGUAGUUACCACGUCUUGUGUCAACGACUAAAGCUCCGGGACAGCGGCGCCCUCGGCGACAGCUGGGUGGGCAGCCUGGGCUGAAAGCGGUGGCCCGUAGCUUCCGUGAGAGCGAGCAGCGGAAGCAGCCUCCAGCCUGGCCUCGCCACAGCCGCCCGGCAAGGGAGCCCUGGCAUGCGCGGAAUGCUCCUUGAGCCCUCUUCUGACUGUUACCUUUGGGGGACGGUUGUGGCCACACUGACGUAUUUUCCAAAUAAAUCGUUUAUUCUUGCGGCGGCGGGACCGAACACGUUAAUAUAUUUUUAAUUUACCCAACACUUUUAUCCAGUGAUACAACUUGGUAAGCGUUUCGAGCGAGCAUCCGCCGGGUUAGGAAAUCGCGGACUGAGCAGCUUGCAUUUGCCACGACCGUCCUCAACUGUUUUGAAGAUUCCAUCUUAUAACUACCAGUGUGCACAGACUACUACUCAAGUAACGUCGUGUCCCAGCGAUGCAAAGAACUGAAAUCUCAAGCUGGAAAAGCCUGCAUUAUCUUCAUAAUAGCACAGAAGAAUUCUAGAUAGGAAGGACAGACGGAAACGAAUGAAGACUUUAAAAGAAAAAAACAAACAUCCAAGAUUGAGAAAAACUAUCAGGACUAAGAAGGUAACACAGAGGAAGCUGUCUUCAAGUCCUGGUAAGAGAGUGGAGGUGGAGUUGAGUUCCUGCUUCCAGCCAUUAACAAAGAAGGCCCUUCCCAUGGUGCUCUUUCGUUGCCAACCCUACUUCUUUCCCAGAUUCUCUAAGGUCCCAAAGAAUUUGGUGUCUGAAGUUUUAGCAUGUCGUAUCUGAGGUUCAAGAAAGAAUUUAGUUAAAGCCAGUUGAGAACAAAACAGUGUGAAGUACUUAGUCACACCCUACUCUGUCAGUGCGACCAAAAUUACCUCAAGGCCUGAUACCCACUAGGAGUUAACCUUUAUUCUUGUCAAUAAAGAUGCUUCCUGAC